GACAGAGGUGCCAAGCGUUAGGCGGAAUCACUGGGCUUAAAGCGUGUGUAGGCGGAUCGUUAAGUGCUUUGUGAAAUCCCACAGCUCAACUGUGGAACUGCUUGGCAUACUGGCGAUCUUGAGCCAUCUAGGGGUUGCUGGAACAAACGGUGGAGCGGUGAAAUGCGUAGAUAUCGGGAGGAACACCUGUGGCGAAAGCGGCGCACUGGACCAUAACUGACGCUGAGGCGCGAAAGCUAGGGGAGCAAACAGG
rnacentral:rRNA from 1 species